rnacentral:rRNA from 1 species
UUAAAUUGAAGAGUUUGAUCAUGGCUCAGAUUGAACGCUGGCGGCAGGCCUAACACAUGCAAGUCGAACGGUAACAGGNAAGCAGCUUGCUGCUUUGCUGACGAGUGGCGGACGGGUGAGUAAUGUCUGGGAAACUGCCUGAUGGAGGGGGAUAACUACUGGAAACGGUAGCUAAUACCGCAUAACGUCGCAAGACCAAAGAGGGGGACCUUAGGGCCUCUUGCCAUCGGAUGUGCCCAGAUGGGAUUAGCUAGUAGGUGGGGUAACGGCUCACCUAGGCGACGAUCCCUAGCUGGUCUGAGAGGAUGACCAGCCACACUGGAACUGAGACACGGUCCAGACUCCUACGGGAGGCAGCAGUGGGGAAUAUUGCACAAUGGGCGCAAGCCUGAUGCAGCCAUGCCGCGUGUAUGAAGAAGGCCUUCGGGUUGUAAAGUACUUUCAGCGGGGAGGAAGGGAGUAAAGUUAAUACCUUUGCUCAUUGACGUUACCCGCAGAAGAAGCACCGGCUAACUCCGUGCCAGCAGCCGCGGUAAUACGGAGGGUGCAAGCGUUAAUCGGAAUUACUGGGCGUAAAGCGCACGCAGGCGGUUUGUUAAGUCAGAUGUGAAAUCCCCGGGCUCAACCUGGGAACUGCAUCUGAUACUGGCAAGCUUGAGUCUCGUAGAGGGGGGUAGAAUUCCAGGUGUAGCGGUGAAAUGCGUAGAGAUCUGGAGGAAUACCGGUGGCGAAGGCGGCCCCCUGGACGAAGACUGACGCUCAGGUGCGAAAGCGUGGGGAGCAAACAGGAUUAGAUACCCUGGUAGUCCACGCCGUAAACGAUGUCGACUUGGAGGUUGUGCCCUUGAGGCGUGGCUUCCGGAGCUAACGCGUUAAGUCGACCGCCUGGGGAGUACGGCCGCAAGGUUAAAACUCAAAUGAAUUGACGGGGGCCCGCACAAGCGGUGGAGCAUGUGGUUUAAUUCGAUGCAACGCGAAGAACCUUACCUGGUCUUGACAUCCACGGAAGUUUUCAGAGAUGAGAAUGUGCCUUCGGGAACCGUGAGACAGGUGCUGCAUGGCUGUCGUCAGCUCGUGUUGUGAAAUGUUGGGUUAAGUCCCGCAACGAGCGCAACCCUUAUCCUUUGUUGCCAGCGGUCCGGCCGGGAACUCAAAGGAGACUGCCAGUGAUAAACUGGAGGAAGGUGGGGAUGACGUCAAGUCAUCAUGGCCCUUACGACCAGGGCUACACACGUGCUACAAUGGCGCAUACAAAGAGAAGCGACCUCGCGAGAGCAAGCGGACCUCAUAAAGUGCGUCGUAGUCCGGAUUGGAGUCUGCAACUCGACUCCAUGAAGUCGGAAUCGCUAGUAAUCGUGGAUCAGAAUGCCACGGUGAAUACGUUCCCGGGCCUUGUACACACCGCCCGUCACACCAUGGGAGUGGGUUGCAAAAGAAGUAGGUAGCUUAACCUUCGGGAGGGCGCUUACCACUUUGUGAUUCAUGACUGGGGUGAAGUCGUAACAAGGUAACCGUAGGGGAACCUGCGGUUGGAUCACCUCCUUACCUUAAAGAAGC